CGUAAUAUUGUGGUACCAGCAGCCGAUGGGGGACUCUGACCUUAAACUCAUUGGAUAUAUUUAUUAUGAUAAUCCAACUAUCGAGGAUAAAUUCCAACAGCAUUUCAAUAUAACUGGACAUGGCUCCACGAAAUCUCAACUUCAUGUGCAGAAACUCAGAGAGCCAGAAGACAGCGCCACGUACUUCUGUGCAGCGAGUAAGCACAGUGACUCAAUUUCCCUCUCCCCUUUACAAAAACCCUCUCUGAUAAUCAGCCACAUAAAGUCACGCUGAAGAGGAGCACACCUGCAUCAAACUGCAGCCUGUGGCAGGAAAUCAACACUGAUAUCAACCUUAAAACGGUCUUUUCCUGUGUUUACCAGGAGAACAGGACACUGUACAAAUCCACUGAUGAACACAUGUGACGGUCCGUAAAGCAGACUCCUCCUCCUCGUCCUCUACAUCCAGGCAGCUCUCUUCAGUUUGCAGUCAUUAUUGUUUUCUUUUCAUCUACCUUACAAUCAUGAUCAGACUUCUUAUACAUUUAGCAGCUCUGCCGUUCUGUUUAACAGAAGUCUCAAAAACCAGCGUUCAUCAGACUCCCACUGCCAUGAUUAAAGAUGCUGGAGAAGACAUCCUGAUGAACUGCAACCAUUCAAACACUGAUUUUAAUAUGAUCCAGUGGUACAAACAGUCUGCUGGAGAAUAUGAUAUGGCUUUAAUUGGUUAUGUACAAUUCACUUCUGCGGUUGUUGAAGAUAAAUUCAAAGACUCUUAUGAUGUGAGCGGUCAUGGAUCAAGUCUGGCACAUCUUCAUAUUCCAAAGAGUCGAUCCGAGAACAGCGCAGUGUAUUUCUGUGCAGCCAGUAGAGCACAGUGCUACACAAACCCUCCGUCUUUAACAAAAACCUUCUCUGACGCAGCCAGUUACAGAAAUUACCACUUGAACCACAUCGUGAAUGACUGAUACACAGCUGGUGCACCAUGAGACAGGUAGAUUCUUAGUUUAUCCAUUAGGGUGCAGUGUUUUUCCAGAUCUGUUGAUGCUGAAUUUGAUGUUGUUGUUGAAUUUAAUCAAUUCUAUAUACGUGUAGUUUAUAUGGUGAAUAUUACUAAUUCAACAUUUUAACAUUUUUAACAGCAAUUCAACAAUUCAUGGACUGAAGAGACUGUGUUUUGUUUGGUCUUUAAAACAGCAGUAACAUCACAUAAAAUGUAUUUGUUAUUAUUAACACUGCUAUUUAUUACUUCCUUGAGGUGGCAGUGUGUAUUUUACCCCCAGCGGCGUGUAAUGGUAACUGGCAUGAUGGUUUUAAUAUUUAGAAAAGGAGGAUAUGACGUUUUUCUGAUAGGAGGACUUAAUCAGAAAGGGAGGAGGGAAUCCUCUGUAUACCAGCAUAGUGAAGAAAACAGCACCAGAAACAAGACUGACUUUAAAAACACAACAUGAUGAUCAUUGUCUGCUGCAUAACCUUGAAUGUUAUACUGGUUUCAGGUAAUGAAAAGUAUUUUUAGAUGAUUGGUGUUUAUCUUUGCAAAAAGAUUUUUUACCUGAAUUAUGAAAGAAAGUUUCAUACUACAGGCUCUGGCAUGUAAACUGAAUUAUAUAAAAUGAGGUAAAAAUAAGCACAUGUACUUUCAGAGAUUCAAAGAAACCAUUGGGCUUUUAAAGUAAAGAAACAAUUAUUUUUAUUUCCACUUCCUCUCUAACUUUAACUGGUGUCUGGUGCUCAACUGCAAUCACUGAUAUAUUGUGUGUUGUUUCUCUUGAUGGCUUUUCCACAGGUUCCUCUCUAAAUGAACUAGUCUACCAGAAUCCAGCCCACACUUUCAACAAACCUGAAGGAGCAGCUAAAAUUGAGUGUUCACACAGUAUUCAAAACUAUGAUACAAUCCUCUGGUACAAGAAAUCAAAGAACAGACAGCUGCAGUUGCUUGGAUACAUGAUGGGAGGCAGUGGAUUUCCAGAAACUGGAGUGAAGGUGAAGAUAGCAGGGAGUGCAAAUAAAGACCAAACCUGCACAUUAAUAAUUGAAGAACUCCAGCUGAACAGCAGUGCAGUGUACUUCUGUGCUGCUAGAUUACACAGUGCUACAUAUCACUGCUCCUUAGUACAAAAACCUCCACAACACAU
rnacentral:lncRNA from 15 species